GCGCGGGCCCGGCGGUGGGCGCCCAGGGCCGCCUGCAGCCCGCAGCUCGCAGGGAGAGCGCAAACCCGCAGCAGAGGCCGGGCCGGGCCGGGCCGGGCGUCUAGACAGGUGAUCCGUAGUGCGGCGGCAGCGGCUCCAGCCUCGCUCUGGAGUCCCUCUCGGGGCCGAUGCCCACAAAUAUGCAGAAUUACCGGCCAAGGCGCUCCUAAAGCCAGCGCCGGGGAGCGAGCGCGCCGGCGGCCAGCACCGGGAACGCACCAAGGAAGAAGCCCAGCCCCCGCCCUCCGCCCCUUCCGUCCCCACCCCCUACCCGGCGGCCCAGGAGGCUCCCGGCGCGGCGGGCGCGGCGGGCGCGCACUCCCUGUUUCUCCUCCUCCUCGCUGGCGCUGCCUGCCUCUCCGCACUCGCCGGGCGCGCUCCGCCGGCUCCCUGCUCCGCGCCACCCUCCUCCGGGCCGCGCUCCCUGAGGGAUGGUACUGAAUUUCGCCGCCACAGGAGCCCGGCUGGAGCGCCCGCCCCGCGGCCUCGCCUCCCCGCCGAGCCGCCAGCGCCUUGGGACGCGAUGAGGACCUGGGCUUGCUUGCUGCUCCUCGGCUGCGGAUACCUCGCCCAUGCCCUGGCCGAGGAAGCCGAGAUCCCCCGCGAGGUGAUCGAGAGGCUGGCGCACAGUCAGAUCCACAGCAUCCGGGACCUCCAGCGACUCCUGGAGAUAGACUCCGUAGGGGCUGAGGAUGCUUUGGAAACCAGCCUGAGAGCCCACGGGGCCCACGCUGCCAAGCAUGCGCCCGAGAAGCGGCCUGUGCCCAUUCGAAGGAAAAGAAGCAUCGAGGAAGCUGUCCCCGCGGUCUGCAAGACCAGGACUGUCAUUUACGAGAUUCCGCGGAGCCAGGUCGACCCCACAUCCGCCAACUUCCUGAUCUGGCCCCCGUGUGUGGAGGUGAGACGCUGCACGGGCUGCUGCAACACCAGCAGCGUCAAGUGUCAGCCCUCGCGGAUCCACCACCGCAGCGUCAAGGUGGCCAAGGUGGAAUAUGUCAGGAAGAAGCCAAAAUUAAAAGAAGUCCAGGUGAGGUUAGAGGAACACUUGGAGUGCGCGUGUACGACCACCAGCCUGAAUCCGGAUUACCGGGAAGAGGACACAGGAAGGCGUAGGGAGUCAGGUAAAAAACGGAAAAGAAAAAGGUUAAAACCCACCUAACGCAGCCAACCAGGGCAGGUCAUCCCCCCAUUUGACAGAUGUAAAAACUGAGGCUUAACAGAGAUUGCGGAUAAGUGUUGGGAGCUGAGUGGAUCUGGAAAUACCUUAUAGAUGUGCAGGGCUACUGGCCGCUGUGUUGAAAAUUGCGUUUGGCCACCAGUAAACCAGAAACAACAGGGAAGAUGGAGACAAGGUGAACUCAAGGUCAUAACUCCGUGUGAAGAUGGGAGACCAGAGCAGACGUGAGGUGAGGCUACGCCGGCAGCCCUGCCCUGGGACAUGGAUGUACAUGGCGUGUUACAUUCCUGAACCUACUAUGUACGGUGCUUUAUUGCCAGUGUGCGGUCUUUGUUCUCCUCCGUGAAAAACUGUGUCCGGGAACACUCCGGAGAACAAAGAGACAGUGCACAUUUGUUCAAUGUGACAUCAAAGCAAGUAUUGUAGCACUCGGCGAAGCAGUCAGAAGCUUCCUUGUCAAAGAGAGAGAGAGAGAGAGAGAGAGAAAACAAAACCACAAAACACGACAAAAACAAAACGGACUCACAAAGUCUCCACACAGCGCGCGCACGGAGGGUCGCCCCGCGGGAUGGAAGCGCAGAGGUCUCCGCAGACGGGGUUUCUGUCCGGCGGCCGCAGGUGCUUUCUGCCCAGGACGCAGAGCCUGCGCGGGCGCGAGGCCGGGGCACGGCGGGCUCCGCGGGGAGCAGGGACGCCGGGCGCCGCGGCCACGCCAACGGUAGAGACCACACCUCCUGGCUGCAGCGCCCGAGUCUAUACAGAAACCUUCCUGAGAGCCUUAAGUGGAUUUUUUAUUUACACCAUAAAGUGAUUACUAAGCUUUCCUUUUUACUCUUUGCCUAGCUUUUUUUUUUUUUUUUUUUUUUAAUUAUGUCUUGGAUGACAUUUACACCAAUAACACACAGGCUGCUGUGACUGUCGGGACAGCGAGACGGUAUUUUUCCUAGCAAGAUGCAAACUAAUGAGAUGUAUUAAAUAAACGUGGUAUACCUACCUUAAGCAUCAUCUCCUAACUCCUGCUUUGUGUCUCCCUCAGUCCACUGUUACCUUUUUAAUUUAAGCCAUUUUGAGAGAACUACGCGUAAAUCAAUCGCCUGCCGUCCCCGUGGCUCCUGCCCCCCCCAACCCCAGGCCACGUUCCCGGAGCGCGCGCCACCGUGGGACGCGGUGUUCCCGAGCGUGGCCGGCAAGACGCUUUGCUGCUUCUGUCUGUCGCUGACGUGCCCCGGCGGUGGGGGCCGCUGCCUGCGGCGGCCAGUGUCGGACAGAACCCAAAUUCUUUAUUUUUGGUAAGAUGUUAUGCUUUAUGUGUAUUGACUGAAAUGUGUGUUGGUUUGUUUUCAUUUUUUUUUUUGUAAAGGUGAAGUUUGUAUUUUUAUCUAAUAUGACAGUUUUAUAUACCUAAGAGCCUGCUAUUUUUUUUUUUGAUCCAAAAUUAAAAAAAAAAAUUCCCAGCAACAAAACCUGUGCACAUGAAAAAGCAUUUCGUGGUCAACGUUUUUGUAGUACUGAGUGUGCACCCCCGUUCCCUGGUCACACGUGCAGCGUCGGGUGGAGACUAGGAGACCGGAGCGCUCUGGGACGGUGCCCCGGACCCCCACAGUGAGCACCCCGGGAACACCGGGCCUCCUCGGACUCCAGAAGCUACGGGAGUAGGCCGCACACGCCGUCGCCGCCUCGGAGCAGCCAAAGGAAUGGCCGGAAAUGUUAUCCAAGGAGGGAGCCGGCCUGGCCGUGUCCACUCCCGGGGCCCUGCUGGCCCGGCCCGGCCCGGCCCGGCGGCUGUCCCCACCUGCCACCUCGAGGCUGACGUGACAUCGAGAUCCCGUGGGUCUUGGCCCCUGCUGCCGCGGGACUGUGCAGAACGGCGGCUGUCGCACGUGUGCUGGUGGAAGACUUUUGUAAAGGACUGUCUUCAACUGGUGCAGUUUUCAGGCCUCGGUCGGUCGGACGCUUUUCAAGUGGGCAGAGGCGGGCCUGGGACGGGGGGCUGCGCCGGGGCCGGAGACGCCCUGCCCCAGCUCCGUGUGCUGUGGCCGAGUGCCGCGCCGCUCAGUGCUGUGCCCGCGAAUGUACGUCUGACGUGAGGUGUGCAAACAUGUAAUUUAUGUAUUUAUGUUUCCGUGAGAUGCUGAUGAUACUGCUCAGAUUCUCUUUUUUUGCGCAAAGCCGUCUGGUGACUUGCUGUGUCCAUUAAAGCAAUGGAGCAGAAAA